rnacentral:rRNA from 1 species
UACGGGGGGGGCAAGCGUUGUUCGGAAUUACUGGGCGUAAAGGGCUCGUAGGCGGCCAACUAAGUCGGACGUGAAAUCCCUCGGCUUAACCGGGGAACUGCGUCUGAUACUGGAUGGCUAGAGUUUGGGAGAGGGAUGCGGAAUUCCAGGUGUAGCGGUGAAAUGCGUAGAUAUCUGGAGGAACACCGGUGGCGAAGGCGGCAUCCUGGACCAACACUGACGCUGAGGAGCGAAAGCCAGGGGAGCAAACGGG